rnacentral:rRNA from 1 species
GACGAACGCUGGCGGCGUGCUUAACACAUGCAAGUCGAACGGAAAGGCUCCAGCUUUCUGGCGUACUCGUGUGGCGAACGGGGGAGUAACACGUGGGUAAUCUGCCCUGCACUCUGGGAGAAGACUUCGAAACUGGGUCUAAAACAGGAUAUGACAUUUCUCCUCAUGUGGUUUGGUGGAAAGUUAUUCGGUGUUAGAUGGGCGCGCGGCCUAUCAGCUUGUUGGUGGUGUGAUGGCAUACCAAGGCGUCGACGGGUAGCCGGCCUGAGAGGGUGAACGGCCACAUUGGGACUGAGAUACGGCGCAGACGCGUACGGGAGGCAGCAGUGGGGAAUAUUGCACAAUGGGCGGAAGCCUGAUGCAGCGACGCCGCGUGAGGGAUGACGGCCUUCGGGUGGUAAACCUCUUUCAGCAGGGACGAAGCGUAAGUGACGGUACCUGCAGAAGAAGCACCGGCUAACUACGUG